rnacentral:misc_RNA from 1 species
GAUGAAGAACGUAGCGAAAUGCGAUAAGUAAUGUGAAUUGCAGAAUUCAGUGAAUCAUCGAAUCUUUGAACGCACAUUGCGCCCGCCAGUAUUCUGGCGGGCAUGCCUGUUCGAGCGUCAUUUCAACCAUCAAGCCCCCGGGCUUGUGUUGGGGUCCUGCGGCUGCCGCAGGCCCUGAAAAGCAGUGGCGGGCUCGCUGUCACACCGAGCGUAGUAGAUUUUAUCUCGCUCAGGGCGUGCUGCGGGUUCCGGCCGUUAAACCACCUUCAUAACCCAAGGUUGACCUCGGAUCAGGUAGGAAGACCCGCUGAACUUAAGCAUAUCAAUAAGCGGAGGA